UCUGUUUUCUCUGUGAUGUCAGAGUGCAUCCAGGUCCUUACCCAGGCCAAGGGACUAGAGGUUUACUCUUAAUACAGAUAUCUGAGGAAACAUAUCUAUUUUCUCCACUUCUCAAUACAUAGCCCUCUCCAUUGACACUGCACUUUAUCAGAGCAGGCUGAAUACUUUUCUCAGUGAUUUUAUUUUGAGUAGACACUUAGUCCUUUAGCCUUCCUUCCCUUUGGAGAAACAGUUAGAAAACUUGAAACUGGAUUGGCCCAGGCUCCCCAUCCAGCACUGAAAGACCCUGUUUUCUUCUCCUCCUGAAACUUUUACUGCUGGAGAGAAGCUUCCUUUACCCUACUGGCUCCUCUGCAAAUCUAGGAGAGGAGGACCCUUGAAUUGAAGCCUACAAAGAAAAUAAAGAAUUCAGGAAGCAAGAGGACUUUAAGAAGGUUAAUUUAGAGAAAAAACAAUUAAGAAGAAAAAAAGGAAAAAAUCCCCCAGGCAGAAUGAGGGAAAAUCUCCAGCAGACCAAUGGGGAGAAGAAAGAGGACAUUAAAAAAUGGCCAAGUUCAGCUACUUCGAAAAGGCUUUCAUCCCCAUUCUAAUAAGGUGAUGUCACCACGUGCCCCAUACCAGAUUGAAUCACUAAAGGAAGAAGACCCCCAGUCAAAGCCUACACUGAUGCCCCGCGUCAACCACAGUACCAAAAACAAGUUCUUUCCCCAACCUGAGCAAAAGACUGCAGCCACAUCCUCUUCAAGCUUCAAACAUCAGGCCAAAGAUCCAUUAUUACCGCCAACUGAGCAGCGGGGAAUGACGGUGUCAUUACCACAGCUUGACCACCCUACCAUAGUCAAGACAUCAUUUAACAAAUACUCGAGCAAAAACCCAAUUUUACCCGUAAAAUGCCCCGACCACCAGGCCAGUACAACUUCUGUGUCUUUAUUACGUCCCAAACAGAGACGAAAUUUUGGAUGUAAUCCAGAGAAUUGGGCUGAGGCACCAUCUCACCCCAGCAAACUUCCUAAGGUUCCAUUUACUCCAAAUCAUCUAUCUAAGAUCCAACAAGGCUUUCACCACCCACCUGAUUCCCUAUUAUAUCAUAGCCAGCACCUCAGGAAUCCGCCCUAUCCUGAGCAUCAGGGCAAUAUUAAACUCUACACAGACAACAAGAAGAAGACAACACCGAUACCCUCAUUGCGUUCCAAAUUUGAAACUAAGCCCACAAAUGUACAAUUACCAGGUAGUCAGCAAGGUAAAGCUGUUGGCCAAAAGGCUAAGACUUCCUUUCCCCAGGACCACAAUCACCAGCUCAGAGUAACAGUUCAACCAUUAUCAUGCACAGACUGUCACUUCAAGAGCAUAGGCAAGCCACUGUCAAGCACUGAUCAAUGGACAAGGGAUGUCAUUAUUCCAUCACCAUGUCCAGUGCAUGGCUCUGCAACAAUGAUGGUGCUGUGCAGGGACUGCUCCAAUAAUUCAGGAAACAUAAGGGCUGUGCCAACGACCCCCCAGUAUUCCUCAUGUCAGUGGAAUCGAACUUCCUCUACAUUGUCUCUUCCUUCCUCUAUCACUGAAUUGCUCUCACCAAAUGCUCAGAGAACAAACUUCCCAAUUCCUCUGAACUCUUGGCUCCUGCAGACUCUAAGGGCCAGGAUAAACCUGAGCAGUGCCCAGACCGCUGGCCUGAAGUACCAAAAUAUUAUGAGGAUGAGGUUGGCUAUUUCCCUAGAGCCAGAACUAAGCAAAAAAUAGAGUCUUCAUUGUGUUUUAGCUACCUCAAACCAUAUACUAUUGAAGGUGGGACUGUUUCCGAUGAAAUUGUUAACGAGAUCAUCAAUUCUAUAUCAGAGGAGAAAAUUAAAAAUGACAUAAUGUUUCUCAUAGAGCAGACCAAAGAGUGCCCUAUUCCUCAGACAGAUCAUAACCUAUCAUCAAGUUAUAAUGUUUGUUUACAUUGUGCCUCUUGGAUCCCGUAUGGCUGCCCCCAUGUUAAGAGAAUGAAUUAUCAUGGUAGAGCAAAACUGAUGGCCAUACCAAUACCCAUUCCUGGUUCUAAAAGGAAGAUGGAUAUUAAAUUUGUUCUUAAACUUCCUAAACAACAGUAUUCCUCUAUGUUUUGCCUCACUUUACCGCGUCAUGGUACAUCUGUCCCAUCAAACCCGUUGCUUCCUUUUCCAUCACCUCCCUGCUCAGACACUACUCUACUUGAAUCACCCACUGAUCGCUGGAAGGCACCAUGGGACACUCGUUCUGGCUAUAUGUGUGGCACAAAUAACUCUUUAUCUUGGACAAAUCAGCAGUCAUUCCUAGGGAGACUUUCUGGGAGGAGCAAUGCCUCCAAUGAAGAAUCAACAAGUGGAUCUGGGGGAGUAUUUAAAUCUCUGCUAGAGAAAUUUCAAAGAAAGCGAAGGUCCAAUUAAAAAGACCAAAUUCUCUUCCAAAGUAAUUGAUCCCCUUUAUACCUUGAAAAAUGUGUUUGUGUGUCUCACCUAUUAUGCCUUGUAUUCAGACUCUGAGUCUGAUUCUCUAUGAGUUCAGGAAGGAUCACAGAUAGGCAACUGGAAGGGACUGCAGAGUCUAAUCCCCUUUCAUUUUAAGGAUAAGGAAACUGAAGUGAAUUCAAGUGAGGGGAACAGGUGACCAAGGUCCUACAGGUAGUAAGAUAAUAGGUAAGAUUUGAAUACAGUUCCUCUGACUCCAGAGUCAUUGUUCUUUCCACUGAACCUUGCUGCCUACAAUUAAGCUAAGUACUCUCCCAAGCAUGAAAGGAGGGAUCCUAUGAUUUCCCUUCCCUCUUUCAACAUUUUCUUUCCUAGUCCCACAGAUGUAAUGGUAUUUCACAGAAUAGGAAGGGCAUUUUCACUUUUUUUCCUACUUCUACAUCUUAAUUUGCAAAAAUACAAUGUAUAUACCAUGUGUGUGAUUCUCCUUUUUUAUACUCAAUAUUCAAUUCAACUGGCAUUUAUUAAGCACCCACAAUGUGCACGGCACUGGUUAGGAUUUGGGAAUACGACAGAAAUUCAAUAGUUCCUGUCUUCAAGGAUCUUAUGUUCCACUGAAGGGACACAAUAGACACAUGGAAAAAGAGUAGACAGAACAUAGAGAAAAGGGAUGUCAACUUUUUGAGUGCUCAUUAAUAACUGGGGGGAUCUGGGAAAGCUCCUUGUAAAAGCCAGCGAUUGAAUAAAGCCUGAAAUGGACUUCGGGGCUCUAAAAAG
rnacentral:lncRNA from 1 species